UACAGAGGGUGCAAGCGUUGUUCGGAAUUAUUGGGCGUAAAGAGCUCGUAGGCGGUUUGUUGCGUCGGCUGUGAAAUCCCGAGGCUCAACCUCGGGUCUGCAGUCGAUACGAGCAAACUAGAGUGUUGCAGGGGAGACUGGAAUUCCUGGUGUAGCGGUGAAAUGCGCAGAUAUCAGGAGGAACACCGGUGGCGAAGGCGGGGUCUCUGGG
rnacentral:rRNA from 1 species